CACAUUUUAGACAAACUUAGACAGUCUCUCUAUUCUUCGACUCGACAGCCUCUCUAUUUUUCCCCUCAAUCACUCCCUAAAUCCUUACUCUAUUCUUUGAAAUCGAUGUCUUUGAAUCACCUAGCACCGAAAUCUCUUCUUCGAUUUCUCUAUAGCUCUGCCAACCACCAUUCUCAUCUCUCUCUCUUCCAAUUUUAAUUUUCCCUUUCUCCUUUUGUACCCUUAACCCUAAAUUUUCAAUCUCAAUCUAAUGGCCGAGGAUGAACAGAGUCGCCCUCCAAGAUAAUCAGGAAACCAAGACCGAAGUUAGAUUUUGAUUCUGGUUCCCCAUCUAUCUCUACCUUUCUCUUAGAUUUAGGGUUCUUAGUGUUCUGUUCUCUUAGAUUGUUCAUCUUCCUCUUUAGCGACAGAGGAGAUAGAGUGCCCCAGAUCCACUUUCUCUCUCCUCCUCGCUCUUAGAUUUAAACUAGGAUCAAUUGAAGAGAUGCAGAACAUGAAGGUGUCCGAGAUGGCGGAGGCGAACGUGCUGUACUGCACCGACGAGGCGACGCUGUGCUGGGCUAGUGAUAAGAAGGACUACAGCGUUGUGCUCAUCAUAUAGUGCCUCUUGUCGUCAUCGACGAUUUGCUGUCGAGGAGGGAAGGAGUCAUACCAGAGAUGUUCAUAUUAUCAUCUUUGUGUUUCUGAGGAGGAUUUGGAAACAACGUCGCUUGGGAUUUUUUACUUGUCUCCGGUGGUUAGGAAACUGGGACCAAAGAAUGCUUUGAUUCUUAAAACUACUGGAUAUUGGUUGUUCAUUGCUGCUAAUUUGAAGCCAACUUGAGAAAGCAUGUUUAUGAACUUAGGCAGUCAAUUUUCACUCGUGAUAAUGAAAGUUGUUCCCAGCAUAUAUUCCAGUGUUAGUGGCAUAUAAAGCUCAUGUUGUGGAGACUCUCCAAUUUUGAUUGGUUGUUGGGUUCAUCAUCAGCAAGGUCAUCAGAUCCCUUAUUUUGGACAUUGUUGGUGAACUAAGAAAGCGUAGAGACAAAUAAAUCCUAGAGAUGAAGAAGGGAUUGAAAGGUUUGCUUUUUUUUUUUUUACUCAAUUGGCUUAUCAUAAUUUGCAGCUAUUCAGCUCUGCUCUUUGUUGUAGAGAAUUGAAAAAAUUGUAUUGUAUUGUAUUCAUCUCACCAUAAGGUUUAUAUAGGGUUACAUCAUGUAUACAAAAGGCAAUACAUAAUAGCUAUACUAAUCACUCGCA